rnacentral:rRNA from 1 species
UAAAAAUUUAUUUAUUUUAGGUAGUAACAGAUUUCUUGAAACCUAAAGAAUUUGGCGGUAUUUUAAAUAAUUAGAGGAACCUGUUAAUUAAAUGAUAAUCCACAACAUAUCUUACCUAAAUUAAGUUUGUAUACCGUUGUUUUUAGUUUAUGUUUAAAGAUUAUGAUCAAAAUUAAUUAAUUUUUAUAAAUCAAAUCAAGGUGCAGCAUAUUUAGGUUUUAGUGGGUUACAAUAUAUUUAUAUAUACGGAUUAAUUAUGAAAAUAUUUUUGAAGGUGGAUUUAAAAGUAAUUUAAAAUUAAAAUGUUUAAAUGAAUAAAAAUUUAAAAUAUGC